CACGUAGGGCGCAAGCGUUGUCCGGAAUUAUUGGGCGUAAAGAGCUCGUAGGCGGUCUGUUGCGUCUGCUGUGAAAACUCGGGGCUUAACCCCGAGCCUGCAGUGGAUACGGGCAGACUAGAGGUAGGUAGGGGAGAAUGGAAUUCCCGGUGUAGCGGUGAAAUGCGCAGAUAUCGGGAGGAACACCGGUGGCGAAGGCGGGUCUCUGGGCAGUAACUGACGCUGAGGAGCGAAAGCGUGGGGAGCGAACAGG
rnacentral:rRNA from 1 species